rnacentral:rRNA from 1 species
CCCUUAGAGUUUGAUCCUGGCUCAGGAUGAACGCUAGCUACAGGCUUAACACAUGCAAGUCGAGGGGAAACGACAUCGAAAGCUUGCUUUUGAUGGGCGUCGACCGGCGCACGGGUGAGUAACGCGUAUCCAACCUGCCCACCACUUGGGGAUAACCUUGCGAAAGUAAGACUAAUACCCAAUGACGUCUCUAGAAGACAUCUGAAGGAGAUUAAAGAUUUAUCGGUGAUGGAUGGGGAUGCGUCUGAUUAGCUUGUUGGCGGGGUAACGGCCCACCAAGGCGACGAUCAGUAGGGGUUCUGAGAGGAAGGUCCCCCACAUUGGAACUGAGACACGGUCCAAACUCCUACGGGAGGCAGCAGUGAGGAAUAUUGGUCAAUGGGCGAGAGCCUGAACCAGCCAAGUAGCGUGCAGGAUGACGGCCCUAUGGGUUGUAAACUGCUUUUAUAAGGGAAUAAAGUGAGUCUCGUGAGACUUUUUGCAUGUACCUUAUGAAUAAGGACCGGCUAAUUCCGUGCCAGCAGCCGCGGUAAUACGGAAGGUCCGGGCGUUAUCCGGAUUUAUUGGGUUUAAAGGGAGCGUAGGCCGGAGAUUAAGCGUGUUGUGAAAUGUAGACGCUCAACGUCUGCACUGCAGCGCGAACUGGUUUCCUUGAGUACGCACAAAGUGGGCGGAAUUCGUGGUGUAGCGGUGAAAUGCUUAGAUAUCACGAAGAACUCCGAUUGCGAAGGCAGCUCACUGGAGCGCAACUGACGCUGAAGCUCGAAAGUGCGGGUAUCGAACAGGAUUAGAUACCCUGGUAGUCCGCACGGUAAACGAUGGAUGCCCGCUGUUGGUCUGAAUAGGUCAGCGGCCAAGCGAAAGCAUUAAGCAUCCCACCUGGGGAGUACGCCGGCAACGGUGAAACU